rnacentral:rRNA from 1 species
UGGGGAAUUUUGGACAAUGGGGGAAACCCUGAUCCAGCCAUCCCGCGUGUGCGAUGAAGGCCUUCGGGUUGUAAAGCACUUUUGGCAGGAAAGAAACGUCAUGGGUUAAUACCCCGUGAAACUGACGGUACCUGCAGAAUAAGCACCGGCUAACUACGUGCCAGCAGCCGCGGUAAUACGUAGGGUGCAAGCGUUAAUUGGAAUUACUGGGCGUAAAGCGUGCGCAGGCGGUUCGGAAAGAAAGAUGUGAAAUCCCAGAGCUCAACUUUGGAACUGCAUUUUUAACUACCGGGCUAGAGUGUGUCAGAGGGAGGUGGAAUUCCGCGUGUAGCAGUGAAAUGCGCAGAUAUGCGGAGGAACACCGAUGGCGAAGGCAGCCUCCUGGGAUAACACUGACGCUCAUGCACGAAAGCGUGGGGAGCAAACAGG